UCCGUAGGUGAACCUGCGGAGGGAUCAUUACAAGAACGCCCGGGCUUCGGCCUGGUUAUUCAUAACCCUUUGUUGUCCGACUCUGUUGCCUCCGGGGCGACCCUGCCUUCGGGCGGGGGCUCCGGGUGGACACUUCAAACUCUUGCGUAACUUUGCAGUCUGAGUAAACUUAAUUAAUAAAUUAAAACUUUUAACAACGGAUCUCUUGGUUCUGGCAUCGAUGAAGAACGCAGCGAAAUGCGAUAAGUAAUGUGAAUUGCAGAAUUCAGUGAAUCAUCGAAUCUUUGAACGCACAUUGCGCCCCCUGGUAUUCCGGGGGGCAUGCCUGUUCGAGCGUCAUUUCACCACUCAAGCCUCGCUUGGUAUUGGGCAACGCGGUCCGCCGCGUGCCUCAAAUCGUCCGGCUGGGUCUUCUGUCCCCUAAGCGUUGUGGAAACUAUUCGCUAAAGGGUGUUCGGGAGGCUACGCCGUAAAACAACCCCAUUUCUAAGGUUGACCUCGGAUCAGGUAGGGAUACCCGCUGAACUUAAGCAUAUCAAUAAGCGGAGGAA
rnacentral:rRNA from 1 species